AAAUCGCCGCCCCCCCCUCCGCCGGUUUACAAGUACAAAUCGCCGCCACCUCCUCCGCCUUACUACUACAAAUCUCCGCCUCCGCCUCCUCCCUACAAGUAUGAAUCGCCGCCUCCGCCUCCCUACAAGUACGAGUCGCCGCCUCCACCACCGUACUACUACAAAUCACCUCCGCCGCCCCCAUACAAGUAUGAAUCGCCGCCGCCACCACCAUACAAGUAUGAAUCGCCGCCGCCACCACCAUACAAGUAUGAAUCGCCUCCUCCACCACCAUAUAAGUACGAAUCGCCACCGCCACCACCAUACAAGUACGAGUCGCCUCCUCCACCUCCGUACAAGUAUGAAUCGCCUCCUCCCCCACCAUACUACUACAAAUCACCACCACCACCUCCUUACAAGUAUGAAUCUCCCCCUCCACCUCCAUAUUACUACAAAUCUCCACCCCCGCCACCACCUUACUACUACAAAUCACCACCACCACCUUCUCCUGUCUACAAAUAUAAAUCUCCACCACCACCACCUUACAAGUACGAAUCUCCUCCUCCACCUCCAUACUAUUACAAGUCUCCACCACCACCGCCGUAUUACUACAAGUCUCCACCACCACCACCUCCAGUUUACAAAUACAAAUCUCCUCCUCCGCCACCAUAUUACUACAAAUCACCACCUCCUCCAUCACCAGUAUAUUACUACAAAUCUCCUCCUCCACCAGCGUAUUACUACAAAUCUCCCCCACCGCCUGUCUACUAUUACAAAUCCCCGCCACCUCCAGCUUACCACUACCAAUCGCCACCCCCACCAAGUUACAAGCUGGUAGUGGUCACGGGCAAGGUCUAUUGCAACAGAUGCUGGAACACCACAAGCAGAUACCUUCAGGCAUCACCACAUGGGUCUGCUAGGUACAUUCUCAAUUGCAUUGUAUUCGAUAUUGUUCUCCUCACUCAUUUCCUCUUGAUACUGUGUGCAAUAAUGCAGGUGGCAAAGUGAAGAUCACAUGUGGCGAAUCUUACUACUACGGCUACACCAACAAGCAUGGAAUCUUUAGAAUUGAGCUCCCGCACCAAUCCUGGGAAGAAGCAAGCAGCUGCAAGGCCAAGAUUAUCAAGAGCAGCUACAUCAAGUCGUCAUGCAAUGUCAUCACGGACUACAGGUCUGGUGCAACAGGGGCCAAGCUCAAGUUCAAAUCGAAAACAGAGAAGGAGCUCGUCUUGACAGCCGGUCCUUUCAUCUAUGCAACUCCAGAGCCAUCGUCAGUCUGCUUCUACACAUCACCUCCCUAUGAGUACAAGUCACCUCCGCCACCAACACCGGUCUACCAUUACGCCUCUCCGCCACCUCCGGUCUACUACUACAAAUCGCCACCUCCUCCUUCACCGGUUUACUACUACAAAUCCCCUCCUCCUCCUUCGCCGGUCUACUAUUACAAAUCCCCGCCUCCACCACCAUACUAUUACAAGUCCCCACCUCCACCUCCGCCUAAGUAUUACUACAAGUCGCCCCCACCACCGUCUCCAUACUAUUACAAAUCCCCGCCCCCUCCACCGUACUAUUACAAAUCCCCACCACCACCUCCCUACAAAUACGAAUCGCCGCCGCCUCCUCCUUACAAAUACGAGUCCCCACCUCCACCACCUUACUAUUACAAGUCCCCACCACCACCUCCAUACAAAUAUGAAUCCCCGCCACCUCCAGUCUACAAAUAUGAGUCUCCGCCACCCCCAGUUUACAAAUACAAGUCGCCACCACCACCAUACAAGUACGAGUCACCACCACCACCUCCAUACAAGUAUGAAUCCCCGCCACCUCCACCUUAUUACUACAAGUCCCCUCCACCACCACCAUACAAGUACGAGUCGCCACCACCUCCUCCGUACAAGUAUGAAUCUCCACCACCACCAGUUUACAAAUACAAGUCACCUCCGCCGCCACCUUAUUACUACAAAUCCCCACCGCCACCUCCAUACAAGUACGAGUCUCCACCUCCUCCUCCGUACAAGUAUGAAUCUCCACCACCACCACCUUAUUACUACAAAUCCCCCCCGCCACCUCCAUACAAGUACGAGUCACCGCCUCCUCCUCCGUACAAGUAUGAAUCUCCACCACCGCCAGUUUACAAAUACAAGUCACCCCCGCCACCACCUUAUUACUACAAAUCCCCGCCACCACCUCCAUACAAGUACGAGUCUCCACCUCCUCCUCCGUACAAGUAUGAAUCUCCACCACCACCUCCUUAUUACUACAAAUCCCCGCCGCCACCUCCCUACAAGUAUGAAUCCCCGCCACCACCUCCCUACAAAUACGAGUCACCUCCACCACCACCUUACUAUUACAAAUCUCCUCCACCGCCUCCAUACAAGUAUGAGUCGCCACCACCACCAGUCUACAAAUACGAGUCUCCGCCACCCCCAGUUUACAAAUACAAGUCGCCCCCUCCACCUUAUUACUACAAGUCUCCGCCACCCCCGCCAUACAAAUAUGAAUCCCCACCUCCACCUCCCUACAAGUAUGAAUCGCCUCCUCCUCCACCUUACUACUACAAGUCCCCUCCACCACCUCCCUACAAAUAUGAAUCCCCGCCACCACCUCCCUAUAAAUACGAGUCACCACCACCACCACCUUACUAUUACAAAUCUCCUCCACCGCCUCCAUACAAGUAUGAGUCGCCACCACCACCUCCCUACAAAUACGAGUCACCACCACCACCACCUUACAAGUAUGAAUCCCCACCUCCACCUCCGUACAAGUAUGAAUCACCUCCACCGCCUCCAUACAAGUAUGAAUCCCCUCCUCCACCUCCCUACAAAUACGAGUCACCACCCCCACCACCUUAUUACUACAAAUCGCCUCCGCCACCGGAGUAUCAAUCACCUCCUUACGUGUAUAAAUCUCCAC
rnacentral:lncRNA from 1 species